rnacentral:rRNA from 2 species
AGACCCGAAACCCGGUGAUCUAGCCAUGGGCAGGUUGAAGGUUGGGUAACACUAACUGGAGGACCGAACCGACUAAUGUUGAAAAAUUAGCGGAUGACCUGUGGCUGGGGGUGAAAGGCCAAUCAAACCGGGAGAUAGCUGGUUCUCCCCGAAAGCUAUUUAGGUAGCGCCUCGUGAAUUCAUCUCCGGGGGUAGAGCACUGUUUCGGCUAGGGGGCCAUCCCGGCUUACCAACCCGAUGCAAACUGCGAAUACCGGAGAAUGUUAUCACGGGAGACACACGGCGGGUGCUAACGUCCGUCGUGAAGAGGGAAACAACCCAGACCGCCAGCUAAGGUCCCAAAGUCAUGGUUAAGUGGGAAACGAUGUGGGAAGGCCCAGACAGCCAGGAUGUUGGCUUAGAAGCAGCCAUCAUUUAAAGAAAGCGUAAUAGCUCACUGGUCGAGUCGGCCUGCGCGGAAGAUGUAACGGGGCUAAACCAUGCACCGAAGCUGCGGCAGCGACACUCAGGUGUUGUUGGGUAGGGGAGCGUUCUGUAAGCCUGUGA